rnacentral:rRNA from 1 species
GACGAACGCUGGCGGCGUGCCUAAUACAUGCAAGUUGAGCGCUGAAGGUUGGUACUUGUACCAACUGGAUGAGCAGCGAACGGGUGAGUAACGCGUGGGGAAUCUGCCUUUGAGCGGGGGACAACAUUUGGAAACGAAUGCUAAUACCGCAUAAAAACUUUAAACACAAGUUUUAAGUUUGAAAGAUGCAAUUGCAUCACUCAAAGAUGAUCCCGCGUUGUAUUAGCUAGUUGGUGAGGUAAAGGCUCACCAAGGCGAUGAUACAUAGCCGACCUGAGAGGGUGAUCGGCCACAUUGGGACUGAGACACGGCCCAAACUCCUACGGGAGGCAUCAGUAGGGAAUCUUCGGCAAUGGACGAAAGUCUGACCGAGCAACGCCGCGUGAGUGAAGAAGGUUUUCGGAUCGUAAAACUCUGUUGGUAGAGAAGAACGUUGGUGAGAGUGGAAAGCUCAUCAAGUGACGGUAACUACCCAGAAAGGGACGGCUAACUACGUG